rnacentral:lncRNA from 1 species
UUUUAGAAGAAGUUUGAUUAUAGAGACCUUUAUUAUGGGUCUUUGUAAAGAAACACAUAUAGAGGAAUACCUGUGAGGAGGCACAUGAAGAACAGAUACAGAUACACAAAGUUCAAGCAGACAGACAGGAGGAGUGGAGAGGAUUGAAAUGAAGUGGUGAAGAAGAAGUACAGAAGAAGUACAAAGUGAAGUGUCCUCCCCUACCUGUGAGUUUAUUAACUAAAAGAACACAUACC